CCACGGGCACGGCACUCCCCUGCGUGGGUUGGGCUGGGUCCAUUAACCAUUAGACUCGUGUCGCUUGCCAAGUAGCCGUUGGACAGGUUCCGACACCCCGAUUCGGGCAAUCGAUCAAAAAUUCUUUUGUUUUCCGUAGGCCCUCGAAAGCUAAAAACUCAAUUUCAAAUAUUUAUUCAAGACAAAAUGUAUUAAUGUUUAUUUUGUUCGUGCUCUUUGGUGGCGACACCUGCGAUUGCCAUGCCGCUGAGUGACGGUUUCUCGGUUCUACAUAUGAGUGCCAUAUACCAAGUUAUUUUUUGCACAUUGUAUUUUUAGAGAGAAACUCGUGAAUUAAUGCAUAUUAAGCAGCGUUCAGCGGCCGUUUAGUUGUGGGUUAUGCAAAUUGCGGUUGCAUAAACUCUCUGACAAUUUCAAUUAACGAAAUAUUUGAGUUAUUUUAUUCGUUAAUAGGGCUUUUGAUUGACACCUCCGGCGUCAAGAAUAGAUUGUCACGAAGUUGUUGGAGGGCCCAGCUCAUUCGUAUGCCGUGGUCGUGGUAAAAAGUGAAUUAAUGAAAAAAACACAAAAGAAACACUUAAGUAUAAUUAUUUACUGAAUGACGAAUGGGUGGGCUUAGUGAAGUCCCCUGAUAAGAUUGAAGUAAUCGCAGGCACAUGAGAAACCCGAGCCUCAAGCGAAAUGGCAGCGCAUGGCCGGCCAAAGCUCAGUAAACACAUUUUUAAAAACGAUCUGGUGGGGCUGGUACGGCCAA